rnacentral:rRNA from 1 species
GUAGGUGGCAAGCGUUGUCCGGAAUUAUUGGGCGUAAAGCGCGCGCAGGUGGUUCGUUUAAGUCUGAUGUGAAAGACCCCCGGGCUCAACCGGGGAGGGUCAUUGGAAACUGGGGAACUUGAGUGCAGGAGAGGAAAGUGGAAUUCCACGUGUAGCGGUGAAAUGCGUAGAUAUGUGGAGGAACACCAGUGGCGAAGGCGACUUUCUGGCCUGUAACUGGCACUGAGGCGCGAAAGCGUGGGGAGCAAACAGGAUUAGAUACCCUGGUAGUCCACGCCGUAAACGAUGAGUGCUAAGUGUUGGGGGGUUUCCGCCCCUCAGUGCUGCAGCUAACGCAUUAAGCACUCCGCCUGGGGAGUACGGCCGCAAAGACUG